CGGGGAGUGGCGCAGCCUGGCAGCGCACCUGACUGGGGGUCAGGAGGUCGCAGGUUCAAAUCCUGUCUCCCCGACCA
rnacentral:tRNA from 1 species